AUACAAUAAUCAUAUUUCAGUUGCAGCAUUGAUGAAAAUAAGUUGCUCUAGAGCAAGAAAACAAAAUCUGAGCACAGGUAUGUAGUUUCACUACAUUGAAAAGCGUUCAAGAGCAUCUAAUAAAGUAGAUAUCUACAUAUUGUUGCAUUGCAUAAAAGCUGAAUACAUAUUUAAACCCACAGUAGAAGUAUCAGAAAGCUUCAUCAAUAAGAAGAUCGCUUGGUGAAGUUGGUCAAAAUCACACUGGAACAGUCCUAGAAGCAGCGGCACCCUGCGUCUCCUCACUAUUUUCCUCAUUCUCACCUGUCAACUCUUCCAGCGAUUUACCCUUUGAUUCAGGCACCA
rnacentral:misc_RNA from 1 species